UACAGAGGUCUCAAGCGUUGUUCGGAAUCACUGGGCGUAAAGGGUGCGUAGGUGGCGAGGUAAGUCAGAUGUGAAAGCCCGGGGCUCAACCUCGGAAUUGCAUCCGAUACUGCCCUGCUCGAGUACUGAAGGGGUGACUAGAAUUCUCGGUGUAGCAGUGAAAUGCGUAGAUAUCGAGAGGAAUACCAAAGGCGUAGGCAGGUCACUGGGCAGUUACUGACACUGAGGCACGAAGGCCAGGGGAGCGAACGGG
rnacentral:rRNA from 1 species